UACGGAGGGUGCAAGCGUUAUCCGGAUUCACUGGGUUUAAAGGGUGCGUAGGCGGGCAGGUAAGUCCGUGGUGAAAUCUCUGAGCUUAACUCAGAAACUGCCAUGGAUACUAUUUGUCUUGAAUGUUGUGGAGGUAAGCGGAAUAUGUCAUGUAGCGGUGAAAUGCUUAGAUAUGACAUAGAACACCCAUUGCGAAGGCAGCUUACUACACAAAUAUUGACGCUGAGGCACGAAAGCGUGGGGAGCAAACGGG
rnacentral:rRNA from 1 species